rnacentral:lncRNA from 1 species
UCUUUUCAUCUCUCUUUUCUAUUUUCGAACCUUUUUCCUAUUAUCUGAACUUUUUCAUCUUACAACUCAAAUCCAUUGGGUUUUUCUCUAGAAACGAAAAUGGCUUGGUGGAAUACCGAAUCCCCCAAGCUCAAAGCCAACCCCAUUGAGUUUUCAUUAUUGUUCUUUGAUUGAAUUUGGUGGGUGGCCGGCGGCAACAAGAAGGUAGCAAAUAGUUGCCGACGGCAGUGGAGCAACAAGAAGGCAGCAAACGUUUGGCUUUUUCUUUUCAUGUUAUUUUUUUUAUUUUCUGUGUGUCAAAUGCAAAAAACGAUUUGACCCAUUUUUACCGGUUCAUGGUUUAAAAGCGUUUUGACCCAUUUUUUAAUUUAUCAUCGGAUUGGUUUAUUGACCGGUUUUUAAUCCGACCAAUCCGUUCGGUUUACCGAUUGAUUACCGGGUAUACUGGCUGGUCCAGUCCGAUUCUGAAAGCAUUGCCAAUUUUGCUAGUUUCACAGAGAUGAUACACCCAUCGAUUGAUUUGAGUGGCAAAUAUAACGAUUUUGUGUAUGUCUAGGGUCAUCCAUGCCUCCACAAUCACAAACCCUAAAGCGUGUGUGCCUGAAAAGCUUUAAACCAUUUCCCUAGUCGCUAACACAUUACUAUCUAGUGACUUUUGAUGGACUCAGCUGCCAUGUGCACCCGCCAAAAUUGAUACCCAUCACUUAUCUGCCUAAGCCACUGGACAUGAUUUUUCGCAAAAGUGGGCAACUUUUGUAAAGUGCUCUCACAUUAGGAGAAAGCCGCAAAUCCUUAGGCCCUUAACCCAUUUUCGUAAAUCCUAAAAAGAGCGAGUUGGUGGCAUCAAGUAUCUACAUGCAUCGAAGAAGAAGAAAACUCCAAACCUUGAGUUUUGUACUUCUUUUUUCACUUGACAACUAUUUCAAAGCACUGACAACAUUUUACUUAUUUUCUUAAGCUGUAAAUGAUAACCAUUAGAUGUAAUUGAAAAACGAAA